rnacentral:rRNA from 1 species
GACGAACGCUGGCGGCGUGCUUAACACAUGCAAGUCGAGCGGCAGCGCGGGAGCAAUCCUGGCGGCGAGCGGCGAACGGGUGAGUAAUGCUUCGGAAUCUGCCCUUCAGUGGGGAAUAACCAGUCGAAAGACUGGCUAAUACCGCAUACGAACUGAGGUUGAAAGCAGGGGAUCGCAAGACCUUGCGCUGAUGGAUGAGCCGAAGUCGGAUUAGCUAGUUGGUAGGGUAACGGCCUACCAAGGCGACGAUCCGUAGCUGGUCUGAGAGGACGACCAGCCACACUGGGACUGAGACACGGCCCAGACUCCUACGGGAGGCAGCAGUGGGGAAUAUUGGACAAUGGGGGCAACCCUGAUCCAGCGACGCCGCGUGUGUGAAGAAGGCCUUCGGGUUGUAAACCGCUUUUGUCAGGGAAGAAAGUUCCGGGUUAAUACCCUGGGAUGCUGACGGUACCUGAAGAAUAAGACACCGGACUAACUACGUGCCAGCAGCCGCGGUAAAACG